UAGCAAGUAUUAUUUUGAAGAUUAACAUUUUGUGCUGCUCUUUAUAAUAGUCCAUGUCUGCUGUUGAGUCUCAUAUCAGUGUGUGUGAGUGUCGUGGAGUUUGUGUUCAUUUGAGUGUGACGGAGGUUUUUGUACGACGCUUUCACGAGAAUGAAGCACUGUGGAGGACUUUUGGUGGAGGAACUGAACUGGUGAUGAGAACUUGUCCCGCAGUGAAGCCCUCCGUGUCUCUGCUGCCUCCCUCUUCUCUGCAGAUCUCUGGAGACUCAGCCGCACUGCUCUGUCUGCUCAGCUCUUACUCUCCACAGGGGGCGCAGGUGAGCUGGAGGCUGGACGGGUCAGAGGUCACCGAGGGGGUUCAGACCAGCGCAGAGAGCGAGCGGGACGGACGCUACAGCCGCAGCAGCGUCCUGAGCCUCAGCAAAGCACGCUGGGAAGCCGGCGAGCGCUUCGUCUGCAGAGUAACACAUGACGGAGCUGCUCAGGAGACCUUGUUCCUCAAGAGCUCCGAAGAGUGCUGAUGUUUCUCCAGUGAAGAGCAGCAGGAUUCACAGCAGUCUCCUGAUUUACAGCUCAAUACUCAAGCAGUCUUUCAAUCUGCUGCCAUUGCUGUUCAUUCAAUAAAGCUUCUGAACGCCUUA